AGUGAACGCUGGCGGUAGGCCUAACACAUGCAAGUCGAACGGCAGCACAGUAAGAGCUUGCUCUUACGGGUGGCGAGUGGCGGACGGGUGAGGAAUACAUCGGAAUCUACUUUUUCGUGGGGGAUAACGUAGGGAAACUUACGCUAAUACCGCAUACGACCUACGGGUGAAAGCAGGGGAUCUCCGGACCUUGCGCGAUUGAAUGAGCCGAUGUCGGAUUAGCUAGUUGGCGGGGUAAAGGCCCACCAAGGCGACGAUCCGUAGCUGGUCUGAGAGGAUGAUCCGCCACACUGGAACUGAGACACGGUCCAGACUCCUACGGGAGGCAGCAGUGGGGAAUAUUGGACAAAGGGCGCAAGCCUGAUCCAGCCAUACCGCGUGGGUGAAGAAGGCCUUCGGGCCGUAAAGCCCUUUUGUUGGGGAAGAAAAGCAGCAGGUUAAAACCCCGCUGUUCUGACGGUACCCAAAGAAUAAGCACCGGCUAACUUCGUG
rnacentral:rRNA from 1 species